UAAUGGUCUUGGAAGCACAGCCGGGGUGACGGAAGCAGUGACAGCAUCUUCAUGCAGCCAGAAGCCGCUGACUCUACGAAGAAUGGAAGACGGCCUUGAGUGCUUUCCAGGUUUGAACUUCACUAAGGAAAAAGAAUAGCCUGUACAAAUGUCAAAGCCCG